GCCUUGUUUGGUGCGAUAUACCUGUGCUUUGGUAUGCCAGAAGUUUAUCGUGUUCUUUUUGAGGCAUUCGGAAUGGAUCCAGAAGAUGAGACAUGCCAGCCUAAAUUGAGACGACAAUUGGAAGAUGUUGAUUAUGUUUCGGUAGAGUUUGAAGGCAAACAGCUUGGCUGGCAAGAUGUUGCUUUCUACAAGCCUCCACAGGAUGCACUAUUUGCACAUCCAAGGCUUUUUAGGGUAUGUGUCCCUCCAGGUAUGCAUCGAUUUCGGGGUAACAUCUGGGACUUUGACA
rnacentral:misc_RNA from 1 species